UCGUGGAGUGGUUUGUCUGGUCUAUUCCGAUAACGAGCGAGACCCCAACGGUUUAAAUAGGGGCUGCAGCCCGGCUUGGUCUGCCUUCACGGGCGGGCCUUGUCAGCCGCAUGCCUCGCAAGCAAGCUUCUUAGACGGAUCGGGGCCGAUAAGGUCUCUGAAAUGGGUUAAUAACA
rnacentral:rRNA from 1 species